rnacentral:rRNA from 1 species
UAUAAAGUCUGACCUGCCCAAUGAAAAUUUAAAUGGCCGCGGUAUUUUGACCGUGCAAAGGUAGCAUAAUAAUUAGUUUUUUAAUUGAAAGCUGGAAUGAAUGGUUGGACGAGAAAAUAACUGUCUCAAAUUAAUUUAAUUAGAAUUUUAUUUUUAAGUUAAAAAGCUUAAAUUUUUUUAAAAGACGAGAAGACCCUAUAGAGUUUUAUAUAUUUAUAAUUAAAUUUAAUUUAGUAUUUUAGUAUUUUUAUUUUUAAAUGUAUUUUAUUGGGGUGAUAAAAAAAUUAAUAAAACUUUUUUUUUUAUAAUAACAUUGAUAUAUGAAUCAUUGAUCCAUUUUUUAUGAUUAAAAGAUUAAGUUACCUUAGGGAUAACAGCGUAAUUUUUUUUUAGAGUUCUUAUCGAAAAGAGAGAUUGCGACCUCGAUGUUGGAUUAAAAUUAAUAUUUGGUGUAGAGGCUAAGUUAUUAGGUCUGUUCGACCUUUGAAAUUUUACA